UUAACCGAAGAUUGCAUCGAGUAGGCGAGAAAAUUGCAUGCAUCCGCUUUUACAGCUUUUAUUCUGUUCUUGUGUCUCUAGCGUGUUUAAUAGAACAUAAUCCAACAGACACGCGUUAUAUGACUAGUUACAUUCUUUCGAAAUUAACAAUUUUCUAUAAUAAUAGUAUAUACGUAGAAAGACGACAAAUCGGACAAUUUUCUUAGUAAGUUGCGUCAAGAUGGAGACUAUGAAGAACUUUUGGGCCCUACACUUUGUUAGAGUCAGGAUUUUUCCACCCUUCUAUAGGUAUCUAGGUAAGAACAAAUCAUAACCCAACUUUGGAAAAGUCAUCAAAUAAGAGUCAGCCUUUAUACUAUGGAAAUGGGCUAGAAAAAUAUGCAAUUUCCAUCAUAUUUGAGGACUUUCAAAAGAUUUCUGACAGUAGGACAAUAAUCAUCAGAUCUCCAAUGGAUUUUCAGCAUACAAUUGCAGCUUAAGAAGAAUUUACUAUGUUUUUUAGAUUAUUUUUUAA